AAAAGUCGUGAACUUUAACAAUUAAUAUCUCGCUUCGCAGGGCAGAGCGACGUUUUUUUCUGCCAGACUCUUUCGUUUUAGACCAAAACGCGUCGAAUGAGUCUAUUUUUAUCAAAAUCGAAGAUCAGUGAUGCAAACUCGAGCCGGCCAGCACCAGGGCUCCGUGGUAGAGGAAGCAUGCACACAAGCGAGAAUCGCUUACGUCCUCAAAGUAAAAAGAAACAGGAGGGAGCGUUUGGUCUUAAAAGUGCGGACGGAAGUGACUAUAUAAAGUGGUCGCUCAAGAUGGCCGCUCAAGGGCGUCAAUAUUGAAUGACUUGUUAUGUUUAAUUAGAAAAUAAUGUACAAUUAAAAGAAAAUAACUAUAAUAUGCAACAAUAAUA